UGAGUCAUAUUAGAAAAAAUCACUGACUUUAGUAUUGUUUUAAAUGUGAUUUUAUGUCAGUCUUCAAUUCAUUUGUCAUUUGAGAUAAAUUAUGGAUUUUCUGUAUUAUCAUUGGAGAUAGAUUACUGCUUUUCUCUUCAUCGUCUGAGGUAAAUCGUGUAUUUAGGAUUUUCCUAGGAUCUACCAAGGCUGUGGAAGAGUUCAGUCAUCAAAUGAGCUGUGGCAACGUGGGAGAGGAAAGCUAAAGAGUCUACACCUGUCCCAGAAUCCUGUUCACCUCACUGCUGCUGUAUGGAGCACAUGACAUCACCACGCCUGGAAAACACACCUGCUAACACACCCGAACCUUCUGGGAGAGUCCCCAAUUUUCCACAAGACGACAACUAGCCACACCCACUCAACACCAAUAACAUUCUGGAUCACGCUAUUUAUUUAGCAUCUCUGAUGCUUCAAGUGUAAUUACCUUAAUCUUCUUUUAUGUCAUUUAUAUGUUGUUUUAUUUUCAAUAGUAAUACAUAUUUUUAUUUAAAAAAAUUGAGCCACUCAAUUAUGGUGAAGAAUUUCUUAUGUCUUCAGGAUGAUAAACCUGCACUUUUUGAUUAUUCAGUCAAAUGACAAGCUGCUUUAUUUGUCCUAACAUCAAUUGGUGCGAUUUUAGUUUUCUAGCUUUCUGAACAGGAAAUUGUAUGUCACGGGAUUUUACACAGUAUCGUAAAACAUUCUGCAGACAUUUUGAUGCAAUCUUCAAUGUUUCUAUGAUCAUUUCUGUCUAUAGCCUGCAUGAGUCAGUGUUUAGCUGGAUGCUGCUUACAAAAGUAGAAAGGUGCCUGAUGAGGUGCUUGGGCCCCUAAAAUGUCAAGACUUGCAGAAACAGAUGAUGUCAAAGCAAAUGGACUGGGAGUGAAUGUGUGAGUGAGUAUUUUGGAUAUGUGCUUAGAUCCUGAGAAGUUCUAGCAAAAAUCUAGCAGUUUGUUUGUUUGUUUGUUUAGCUCAGAAAGUGCUUGGACCCUUAGAGAAAUGAGAAAUGGCUGUUCUCGAUCCAGUACUGUAAUGCAAUCUAAAGCACAUAUAAACAACUGUGUCAACAUUUUCACCCCUCAAGCUUUGGGAUGCGGCACGUGCGAGCUUUACCUAAGACCCGUUGACCUUUUCACACGAGCAAAUCAAGCGUGUGAUUUUUAGUCCCUCGAAUAAUGUGCUUGAAUAAAGGUGUGAUGUUUAUGUGGGAUAAAUCGUGACAGCUCUUUUGCAAACCAUUCUGUUUUUUUUUUUGUUUUUUUACACGUGACCUCACCGUGACGCGACGACUCUCGACUCCUUGAGACGAUCUUUGUGUGCUUUAAGCGAUUGAACCCAUUUUAGAAUGAAUAGGGUUAAUUUUUUUUAAAUCCCCAUUAUCCAAAGACAGGAAUAAAAGCCUCUUCAAACGAGGUAAACCAAUCUUUCAGGGAUGGGAAUAACUCAGAGAGAGAGAGAGAGAGAGAGAG